rnacentral:rRNA from 1 species
GGUAUGACUCUCGGUAACGGAUAUCUCGGCUCUCGCAUCGAUGAAGAACGUAGCGAAAUGCGAUAUGUGGUGUGAAUUGCAGAAUCCCAUGAACCAUCGAGUCCUUUGAAUGCAAGUUGCACCCGAGGCCAUCCGAUCGAGGGCAUGCUACCUGGGCGUCACUC